UACGUAGGGUGCAAGCGUUGUCCGGAAUUAUUGGGCGUAAAGAGCUCGUAGGCGGUCUGUCGCGUCGGCUGUGAAAACUCGGGGCUCAACCCCGAGCCUGCAGUCGAUACGGGCAGACUAGAGUGCGGUAGGGGAGACUGGAAUUCCUGGUGUAGCGGUGAAAUGCGCAGAUAUCAGGAGGAACACCGGUGGCGAAGGCGGGUCUCUGGACAGUUCCUGACGCUGAGGCACGAAGGUCAGGGGAGCAAACGGG
rnacentral:rRNA from 1 species